UUAGUCAUUCAGCACAAGUUCACACAGUACACGGGGAGCAGAGCAGAGAGCUCAGACUGAAGUGCAGAGAGAAGCAUGCCGACAGGACCGUGUGGUACGGACAGAGGUGCAGUCAACUUCCCUUCAUUAUUGUUGCUGUUAUUGGCUCAGAUCAACCUCCAUUUCAUCCAGUGUUCAUCCGAGGUUCUGAGUCAAACUUCAAUAUUGCAUGGGAUGCAAAUGCAGCAUCGGUUAGCCUGGAAAUUAAGAACUUCAGCGACUCUGAUCAAGGGUUCUACUACUGCAGCGUAGGUGAUGAAGCGUACACAAUUAUUGGAUCUGGAUAUACUGUAACUCUAAAAGAGACGGCCAAUACACCCACACAGGCCCCAGCGACACUCAUAGUUCAUGAAGAAAAGGAAUCAUGGCAGUGGCAUACAGUGGCUAUUUGGCCUGUAAUCUGUUUUACAGUGUCUGGAAUAGCUUUGUGGGGUAUUUAUGAAAUACAAAAACAACCAAGGUCUAAAAAGGUUUGUGGAAUUUGUAUGUGACUAUUUUCUUUACC